rnacentral:lncRNA from 1 species
GGGAGGCAGCACACUGGGGUCAGGAGUGGAGAUACUUAGGCUCCCCAGAGAAAUUAGUCACAAGUCUUAUCCCUUCAUCUCCAUUUACAGCCAUUUAUUUGGGAGCAACAUACUUUAAAUGAGUGAUAAACAAAAUGUCUCCCCACAGCCCCCACCCCAGCAUGUGUUCUGAAGUUCACAGGAAGGCUUCUCCUCAUUUGCUUUGGGGCCCGCAGGCUGCCUGCUAACAGCUGGGUCUUCCCAUGAACAAAUUAGACAGUUAAUGUUCCAGGAUGAAGAGGGCUUCGGGGAACAGAAUCUGCCGUUUAUUUGACUUGCUUCAUUAGACACAGUGCCAUCAUACCAAAAUUAGAAAAAAGAAGGAACUCAGCGGAAAUCAGCUACACAAGAAGAACCUCUCAGUUCUGAGAAUUCACAUUAACCAGUGAUUAAGAAAUAUUAAAAAGGGCUGAUAGUCCACUACGUUAUCAAGUUCAAAGCCUAAGAAAUAUUGAACAUUUCCACACAUGAAUGUGGGUACUAUGUUUAAUUUGAGAAUGGCCAACUGUCCUCGAAGUCUCAAUCUCUUUGGAGCCUACCAGCUCCGAGAGAAGUUUGAGGAUGCUGCAAAACCCUCCCCUGCAAAUCCAUCUACUCCUCCCACUUCUAUCCUAAUGGGUAUAGUUCUUGGCUGUGCUGAGGAUCUGUAAGGCACCAGAUGUGAAAGUAAGGAAGAAAGAUGGAUGUGGAAGAAAGUCACUGCCCAGAGAAUAAGGAGACCUGGAUUCUAAUCUCAGCUCUGCCAUUAACUAGCUGUGAGACUCAAGAAUAACUAAUCAUUUUGAUAACUCGUUUUUUUACUUUUUAAAAUGAGGAGCCAAGUUUAGACAAUGAGCUCGGCUCUUCACCAGUGAUAAAGUGUCUGGGACAUGCUUCCAUUCAAGCAAUGCUCUUCCUUCUUGAUGAAACUAUGGCUCAAAAGGGAAUAAGAGAUCAAGGCAAGCAUGGACAUCUUGUACGUGGAAGUGCAGACCAGAACUUGUAUCACAGCCAGUCAUAUCUGGUGCUUUCCAUGCUACUUUUACAUACAUGUAUCCUUAAAUUUGAUCCUCUUCUAGUUUAGUCUAAACUCUUUACUUUGUAACUUCCAAACCUAAAAGGUGCAGCAGACAUUGACAAUCUUAAUUCAUUUGUCAGGUCAUUUGGUUUCUUGGUUUCCUAAGGGACUGUAUCCUUCCUGCCCUGCUAAUGGGGAGACUUUUUGUUUUUUGUUUUCUGUUUUCCUUAAUAAGUGAGGCCAAGUGCUGUGUGUAACUGUGGGGUGGGCAAAAUUAGGAUUCCUGAAUCACUUCACUUUUUGUUGCCUUUCUCUUGGGAGAAUGGUUACCAUUGCAGAGAAGCAUAGUUAAAAUUGCUUUUGUGUUUCAUAAACGAAUUCAUACUUAGAUGUCAUUGACCAACAACUAAAUAGUAUAUCAGAGAUGAAAGGCAUCCUAGAGAUGACCAAAUCAAGCUCUUCAUUACUCAAAGGAGAAAAAAAUCCAGAAAGUGGAUGACAUAUGUUGAACUAGUGAUGGAAGUAGAACAGGGUAGUGUAUUUUCUGCCUCUUAAUUCUUCAUUUUUUACACUAAACCAGAUAUUAGGUAUAUGACUAGGAAGAUACGUGAGGUAAGGAGCAGAGGGUUUGGCUCCAAACUCAUCAUGUAGUCAUCCUCCUCCAAGCUCUGAGAGCUUCUCUCACAUGUUAAUUCAGAGGCAGUAACAAAAGAAUUAAUGCUCCUGAAGGUUUCUCAAUUUUAUCAUCUGGAAAGUGGAGUGAACCUUUGCAGAGUCCUUCUGAAGAGGGCUGACCUUGGACUGCACUAGGUUAUAUUCAUUUGCUAUUACUCAGCAAUAAAAAGUAAAUGCAACAAUAUAAAUGAAUCUUAAAAACAUAAUAUGGAAAGAAAGCAGCCAGACACAAAAGAAUACCUCCUGUUUGGUUUCAUUACCAUAAAACCUAGAACAGACAAAUGAAUAUACUAUGAUUUUAAAAAGAUCAUUAUGAUCAGAAAGCACUUGCCUGUUACAGGAAGGAGAUGGGGAUUGACUGGAAAGGGGCAUGAGAAAACUGUAUGAAAUAUUAUAUAUGGUUUAUAUCUUGUUUGGGGGUGGAUACAUAGCUGUGUAUAAUUGUCAACAGUCAUUGAACUGAGCACUUAAAAUCUCUGCAUUUUAGUGUAUGUAAAUUAAUUUUUAAAAUUAUUUUAAAAGAAAAGUAAAAGGAUAGAAAAAGAUAUACCAUGAAAACAGCAAUCAUACAGAGUUGGGGCAGCUAUACUAAUACUAGAUAAAAUAGUCUGUAAGACAAAAACUUAUUAGAGAUGAAGAGGGACAUUUUAAGUGAUGACAAUUUAUUCAAUAAGGAAGAUGUAACAAGAAUAACAAGUAUGUAUGUACCUAAUAACAAAAUCCCAAAAUACGUAAAGCAACAACUGACAAAAUUGAAGGGAAAGAUAGACAAUUCAACAAUAAUAGUUGAGGACUGGAAUACCUCACUUCCAACAAUAAAGAGAAAAACUGGGCAGAAAACCAACUGGGAUACAGAGACUUGAAAAACAUUGUAAACCAAGUAGAAUCAACACACAUCUAUAGAAAACUCCACCCAACAACAGCAGAAAAUACAUUCUUCUGAAGUGCAUACGGAACAUUCCACAGAAAUAUAUGAUGUGCUAGGCCAUAAAAUAAGCCACAAUAGAUAAUAAAAGACUGAAAUCAUGUAAAUUAGGCUCUAUGCCCACAGAUUUAGAAAUCAAUAACUAAAAGAAAUGUGGGGAAUACACAAAUAUGUGGAAAUUAAGCAACACGUUCAUAAAUAACCAAUAGGUCAAGGGAAAAAAAUAUCACAAGGAAAAUUAGAAGAUACUUGAGAUGAAUGAAAAUAAAAAUACAGCAUACAAAAAAAACCAUGGGAGGAAGUUAAAGCAGCAUUAGAGCUAAAUUUAUAGCAAUAAAUGCUUAUUUCUUUAAAAAAUAUCUCUAAUAAUCUAACCUUUCAAUUUAUGAAACUAUAAAAGAACAAAUGAAACUGAAAGCAAGCAAAAAGGAGAAAAUAAUAAAAUUUCAGUAGAAAUAAAUGAAAUAAAAAAUAAAAUACAUAAAGCAACAGUUGGUUCUUGAACAAAAUUGACAAAUCUUUAGCGAAACUUUAGCAAAAAAGAAGGAGGACUCAAAUUACUCACAUCAGGCAAGAAAGAAGAAACUUGACUACUAACUUUACAGAUAAAAAGAAUUCAAGGGGGAUAAAACGUAAAAAAAAAAAACCUCUAUUGCUAACAAAUUAAAUAAACUAUAUGAUAUGGACAAAUCCCUAGAAAGACACAAAUUAUUGAAACUAACUCAAGAAAUAGAAAAUCUAAAUAGACCUAUAACAGGUAAAAAGAUUGAAUUAGUAAAUAAAAACUUCCCACAAAGAAAGAUUCAGGCCUAGAUGGCUUCCACUGGUAAAUUCUCCCAAAUAUUUAAAGAAGAAUUAAUACCAAUUGUUUAUAAACUCUUUUAGAAAAUAGAAGAAAGGGGAACUCAUUCUAUGAGUUCACUAUUACCCUGAUACCAAUGCCAGACAAAGGCAUGAGAAAAAGAGAACUGCACACCUUUAUGCAUCCCUAUCCUUUAUGAAUAUAGAUGCAAAACUCCAAGAUGAAUCCUGAAACAAAUAAAAAAUUGUACCACAACUAAGAAAGAUUUCUUCCAAGAAUUCAAGAUUGGUUUAACAUCUGAAAAUCAAUUUAUAUAAUAUGCCACAACAAUAAAGAAAAAAAUCACAAUUACUUCAAUAGAUGCAUAAAAUAAUGGAUAAACUCCAACACUCAUGAUUAAACAAAAAAAGAAGAAAACGCUUAAACCAGGAACAAAAAUUAACUUCCUCAAACUACCAGAAACUUACAGCUAACAUCAUACUAAAUUGUAAAGAAUCAAAUGGUCUUCUUUCACUCUCAGAUGUGAAAAUCUCCUAUGUAGAAAAUCCCAAGGUAUCGACAAAAAACAAAAAAAAAAGCUAUUAGAACUAAUAAAUGGGUUCAGCAAGUUUGCUGGAUACAAGAUCAGUAUAGAAAAAUCGAUUGCAUUUCUAUAUAUUAACAAUGAAAAACCAAAAUAAAAUUAAGAAAAUUCUAUUUAUAAAUAACAUCAAAAGGAAUAAAAUUUUUAGGAAUAGAUUUAACAAUUUAAGUAUAAAAUGUAUAUGCUAAAAACUACAAAACACUGUUGAGUGAUACUGAAGAUUAAAAUAAAUGGAAAGAUACACCAUGCUUAUGAAUUGGAGGAUUUAAUAUCGUUAAGAUGGCAAUACUUCCCAUAUUAAUGUACAAACUUAAUGCAAUUCUUAACAAAACUCUUCUGGUGUUUUUACAGAAAUUCACAAGGUGACCCUAACAUGUAUAUAAAAAUGCAAGGGAUCCAGAAUCACUAUAACAAUCUUGAAAAAGAAUAACAAAGUUGAUGGAUUCACACUUCCCAAUUCCAGAACAUACUACAAAGCGACAGUAAUCAUAAUGGUGUGGUACUGGUAUAGGGAUAAACAUAUUAAUCAACAGAAUAGAAUUAAGAGUCCAGUAAAUCCUCACAUUUAUGUUCAAUCGAUUUUCAGUAAAUAGGCAAGACAAUUCAGUGGGCAAAGAAUAAUCUUUAACAAAUAGUGCUGGACAACUGAAUAUCACAUGCAAAAGAAUGAAUUUGCACCCUGACUUCACAAUAGACACAAAUUAACUCAAAGUGUAUUAUAGAUCUAAAUGUAAGAGCUAAAUUACAAAACUCUUUUCAAAACAACUACAAAAUUCAAUCUUCAUGAUCUCGGAUUAGGGAAUGACUCUUCAAAUUAGACACCUAAAGCACAGGUGAUAAAAGAUGGCUAGGUUGGACUUCAUCAAAAUCAAAAACUUUUCUGCUUCAAGGGAUAUUUUUAAGAAAGUAAAAAGAUAACCCUACAGACUGAGAGAAAAAUUUUGAAAAUUGCAUAUUUAGUAAGAUACUUACACCCAAAAUAUAUACAGAACUCUUACAACUCAAUAAAGACAAACAGCCCAUUUUUUUCCAUGAGCAAAUGAUUUAAAUAGAAAUUUCUCCAAAGAAGACAUAUGAAUGGCCAACCAAUAAGCACGUGAAAAAUGUCAAUAUCAAUAGCUAUCAGGGAAAUGCAAAUCAAAAUCACAAAGAAACCAGGGCAGAGUGCCAGAUGCUCCGUACCUUGAAAAGGUUCAAGGAAACUUGAAAGAUCAGAUGACAUUUUUAGUGUAAUCUACAAGUCACUCUUCAAAUGACUUGAAGAUGACUACCUGAAUAUAUACAAUAAAAGUUGGAAAUAUUCAUAGAUAAUAUAAAAUUGAGACAAAAAAGGUCUAGAAAGACUGCAAUGUCAAGAUAUGUAUCAUCAAUUCCUGUACGCUACAGUUAAAUUUUGUUCUGAGUUUUCUGGUGCCAAGAAAAUAGGAAAGGGGUGGGCAAUACAGUAAGAUACAAAGAAAGCUUUUAUUUCAUGACACUUAAUUCUAAAAGAAUAAUCAGGUGAUAUGAAGCCAAUUUCUACAGAUAUGGUCUCUGUCCUCCAAGAGCUCAUAACUCAGAGAAAAAUAAAUAUGCAAAUGAUUAAAAUCAGUGAGGUAACUGCUAUGAAGGACGUAUGUACAAGCUAUACUGGAGGCAUAAGAGAGAGAGUUACCAUUCAGAUGAGGUGGACUCAUGCUCUGAUGUGGUAACAUAUGAGGUAGAUUGGGUAGGAAGGUAAGGCCAGUAGAGGGUGGGAGAACAUUCCAAGCAUCUGCAGAGAUUAAAAUUACCUAAGACGUUUGAGAAAUUGUAAGUGGUCUGAUAUGGCUGCAGUACUGGAUGUGAAGAUAAAAUUAAUGAUAGCUGAGGGUGGCAGGAAAGCUGGGAUCUUGCCAUGUAUAGCCUUAUAUGUCAUGCCAAGGACUUUGGACUUUAACCUGUAGGCAAGGGGAACCAUUGACUGGCAAGCCCUGAGUAGAGAGUCUAGGCCUUAUAAUGGGAAGUUAGUUUCCAGAGAUAACCUAAAGAAUUCCUGCCUUUAGGUUUAAUUCCAAAAGGGUAGUAAUCCACAACCUAGCACUCCAUAACAGUGAUUUAUAUUGGAAUUACUCUCCAAAUUGGAAGAUAUGGUUAAUCUGGGAUUAUAGGACGUGUAAGCUCAAAGUAAUUUCCAUUGUAACUCGUAUAGCUUUCUACUCAGCCCAUGACAUUCCUACCUGGUUCCAGUUCUUGCAAUUCAAAGAGAACAGGUCAAUGUCAGUGUUAACAUGUGGGUAUGAAAACAGCAAGUACCCGCAUAUGAAUUGGAACUGGGCUCACUGAAGAAAGCAUGUAAUUGGAGUGGGAAUAAAAGCAUCCAACUAUUAUACUUGUGUGUGUACACACACACAUUAGAUAUACUGCUACAGAUAUAGAUAGAUGCCAGGUGUGCUGGUCACUUUGCGAAUCUCAUCACACUUUACCUUCAUGACAAUCCAGAAAGGUAAGUACUAAUCCCACUUCACAGAUCAAGACUAUUCUUACUUACAGAAGUUAACAGUGCUCUCUCACUGGCUGGAUUGGCAUGGAUGCCUAUUUUUGAUAGUAUUUCUAAUCCUUACCACUGAAAGCAUUGGAAUGACACUUCAUGUAUUUUUUUCAGUAGAGAAGUAAUAGAAACUAUUCCCCUUAAAUGGCAGAUGUGAUAUCUCAAGCACAAAAGCUUGGGUGACUCACUCAAGUCAAUAACAACUGUAGGACAGGAGCAUUUCCAGUUGGCCCCGUAUUCCUUCUACUUAGUCUUUUUUGUUCUCAUGUAAAUACAAAGUCAUAAAUUUGUGGGGGUUCAUAUUGGCUUUGUUCCUUUUCCCAUCUAGUUACCACAAGAGACCUUUCACUCUCCCUAGUGACACCAUUCAACCUCUACAUAACCCUACAACAAAUACCCACUUCACUACCAUAUCACAUGGCCAGACCAGUGGUCUUUUCCUUUAAUGUUACAUAGAAUAAUAUUAUUUCUCCAUCAAUUAACUCUGAUUGGAAUCAUGAUUAUCACUAGUUUUAUUCUUCAGGCUUGAUAGAGUACCAGCUGUGUCCAACAAAUGUAACAACAGUGGCUUCCAGCCAAGUGCAACUGAGGUUUUUACAAGAAUAGAUACUUCGUGUAUUCUAAUGACAAAAGCACAUAAAUGAGGACUAAUAUUCUGUCUGUGGCAGAGAGAAAAUCCUCUUGACUUUGAAGAGGUUCAAAGGCCCACACACACAGAAAACUGAGUGCUCUGUCAUGCUAUCUGGAUCAAGGGACUCCCCCAAGGGGCCGGCAUCCCGGCCUUAGAAAGAUGUCUGGGCCCUCAUCACUGAGGCCUUUGAAACCUUGUACCAGAAACCCCCAGGGGUGCCUCUCCAGCCUGCUCCCCUGGAACUUCUCAGGUACCCAUGACACAGCCAGAUAACCAGCCAGUUGUCACCUACCAUCUAGGACAGUCUCUUACUCCUACCUGUCCAUGCAUGCUCACUAAACUUGCCCUGCAGCAGAAGUAUGAAUGACUCUUUAUUAAAAUAGACAGGAAAAACAAUAGUGUCUCAUCUCACACCUGCACUAGGAAAAAAUCCUCUGUCUUCCUCUCUCCCUUCUGGGCCCACUCCCUCCAAGUCAUCUCAGAGCUGCUGCCAGCAGCAUGUAAAAUAUGAAUCUGACUUUUUGACCCAUCUGAUUAAAAACUGAAGUUGGAGCACCUCUGGCAGCAGAUUGAAGUCCAAACCCCUUCAAAAAGUAUUCAAGGGCCUUCACAACCUGAUUUCAACAAUAUCCUGAACAGUUUUCCCAUACACUGGAGCUCUGGCCUUCCCAGGUAACUCACUACCCCCUGAAGAUGUUGUACAUUUUCAUUAUAUAUGAUUUUUGUUACUAUUCAAUUUAUCUAGAAUACAUCACAUCCCCUAUCUCACCUCACUCACCUGACAAACUCCCAAUCAUUCUUUGAGAACUAGCUAAAAUGUUCUCACCCCUCUAAUGCUUUCCCUGACCAUCCCAGGCCAAAUUAACCAGUCCUUCCUCUGUGACUCUGCCUAUUGCACUUAUUCUGAUUUUCCCAGCUCAACAGAUGACAGAGCCAAGACUCAAACCCUGGCCUUCUGACUCCAAGUUCUAAGGUCUUUACUUAACCCCUUGCCUACUGUGCAAUAUUACAAAUGGAAUCAUGCGUCAAUUCUGAAUCCCGACUGGCAGGCCAAUUGUGGGUAGUCAGUAAACUUACAGUGGAUGAAUGAAUGAACAACAACCUGAAGGAAGCUUCUACUAUCCCCACCCACCCCCCACCACACACACACACACACACACACACACACACACACAGAGUUUAUUCUUCGAACUGGAAUUUGUAAAGACAGCUUGGUUUCCCAGAUGCAUCCAACUCAUCAGGUACUACAAAUUCUGUAACCAGGCCCCAAUUUAGGGAUACUACAACUAUGCAUCAUGUAAUCAUGUAGGUCCUCCAGUGAUACUCAUCUUGCUCAUUUGGCCAUGGAUAAAGGAGAAAAGAGAGAGAAGUUCCCUUUCAGCACCCUAACACAUCUCUUAAUACAGCCUCUAAGUCUUUGAGUCCUCCAGGAGCCAGCAGCCAAGUCCAAACUAAAAGCAUCACAUGUUGUUUUGGAGAAAGAAGCCAGGGUGUCCACAGUAAUAUAAAUACAGAGACAGAUAGGACGAGCAGGCCCUAUGGAGAGAGGCCAAGCCUGAGAAAGUCAAAGGGCUUUGAGCUCUGAAUUAUGCUCUGUCAAAGAAAAAAAAAAGUAGAAGAUAAAAGAGAAAGAAUAAACAAACUUCUUCAUUUUUACUUUUCACAAAAAAGUCUCUUCUGGAAGCAGCAAAUAAAAUCUUCCCAACUCACUGGGUGCUGAGUAGAGUGUUAAGACACUAGCCCUUGAAGGAAGAAUGAAUAAGCAAUUCAAAGUGGGCUUUUCUGCCCUAGGCUAAAUCUGAAAUCAUCCAUUUUGCCAGCAGUAUUCUGUCUGCCAACCUACCUGCAAAGAAAGGGGCCAUUUAAAACUUCACAUCCACCCGAGAUGGCUGUUGUACAAAACACACACUCACAGGCUCCCCUCAAAGCCUAGUAAGGAAGAAGGAAGAAGGAAAAAGCAAAGGAAAUAUCUGGCAGCUCCUAGACUUUAGGAAUUCCACAAACAAAGCCAUUGCCAACAUCUAUUUGACAGGAUGUAUAGAGAGUUCAUAAAGUAAGUGUUUAUAGAAAUUCCAAAAUGUUUAAAACUAUCUCUUGAUUUUUGAAGGUCACUGUAAUCUAGUCUAUUGGAGAAUGCUAUUGUAGAGUCUUUGGCUAUUGUUACUUAUACCUGCAUAUAUGAAAUCACCACUCCUAAAAACCACGAAUUAGAAGGCUGAUUUGUUUAAAGAAAUACUGUUGUCCAUGAUGGAAGAAGGAUGCUAACUCACAGAGAGAAUGAUGCUGCCUGUGGAACAGAGUCGGAGCUGGCUUUUAUGGAACCUAUUGUCACUUUGAUUAUACACUGUCUAGGACAGGACUGAGGCCCACAUAAUACCAAGCAUACCACAAAUACAAAAAGUGGCAUAGAGGGAAAAAGAGGUCAAAUUAAACAUCAAGGUAGCUAAAAGGAAAAUUGUGUCCGCUGCUCUAAUAUCACAAUCCCAAGGAGAACUGCAGACAUUUGUCCUCGAGUUCCUCAGGUUGCCAGUAAUGAUGUUUCUGGUGAUCUGGCUCAGAAGGCUGAGCUGAUGAGUGAUCACUCAGAAAUACUGAAUCAGGCAAUGGAAAUUCUGAAUCGGUGGGCUCUGGAGAAGGAACUGAGGGCGAGGUGACUCGGGGCCGGAGGGCUAUUAUGGACUAUGGACAAGCUGAAGGCAUGGGAAGCCUGACCAGUAGAUAGAGGAAUAUGAACUUGGUGGACAGGGAAAAGCAGGGACGUCAUGAACGAAAGACCACAGACCCUCUGUUCUAGUCCAUGGGGCCAGGCUGUGCUCCACUGCCUACUCUUGGAUUCCCCAAAGAAUGCUUUAUGUCCUUAUAAUAAAUCCACCUUUCCAUGGACAAAAAUGAGUGUGUCUCUGUGUCUUCAAACCUGAGAGCUAAAACCAAAAAACAUAACUUAUGAUGCUGUAGAAGAAACUUCUACCCCUUUGUACGCAUGGAGAUGUUUCCCAAAUCUACACAAUGAUAGAAAUAACUUGCUGCGUUAAAAAGUA